UCUCCUCUCUUCCCCUUCCCUUCAGCUCCAUGCUAUCUAGCUCUCCCCCCUCCCAUUCCUCCCCCCACCAUUCCUCCCCCCACACAGAGCCUCACCGGGCGGCGAGUGGCCAAAAAGGGCUCCGCCGCCACCGUUUUUUUCUCCCUCCCGUCUGCCCACAGCUGCCACUUUUCUCUGCUUUUUUCUCCCCACUUCCACCCGCCUGCCGCUGCUGCUUUUCUCUCCUCUACUCCUCCGCCCGCCCGCCGCCACCAUUUUCUUCUCCCUCUCCUCCUCCCUCCUCACUUGGCUGGGCCUCUCGCCGGAACUCUCGCAGCGUGUCACGAGAAUUCCGCCGCCAAAUCCUGGACACGCAUGCCGGCUAAAAGAAUUAAUUAUAUAGAUGACUGCACUGUCAUGCAACUCUGCAGUUUCUGCUCUUGUGCAACUGCACAAACAUUGCAUUCCACUGCAUGAGUAAUGCUGCACAGUAUGUCAUUCCUUAUCUUGGUGCACUGCAUCUUUUAAUAUUUAAUAUCAUCAUUGGCCCCGUUCAUAUGAUUAUGUCUUCUGUUCCUCCACCAUCUUAACAUUCUCAAAGGUAAGUAUGUGCCCAAAUGGGCUUAGGCAGCCAUGGGUGGGGAACGGUUCCCUUAAGAAGCAGGUAAGCAGGUCUUUACCUGCUCCACUGCCACUCUGCCUCUUUUGUGGGUGUUGCACACACUCUAUCAAAGGCUUCACACAGCUGCAGCACUCAGCCUUCGUUAGAGUGUUUGCCACACCUGUAAAACGGCGCGGUGGCAGGGGAGAGGUAAGGAACUACAUACCUGCUUCUUAAUGGAACCACUCCCCACCCUGCCAUACUGAUUCGGCUGCAGGUUCCCGAGCCAGUUUGGCACUUCCCUAAGGAGGCACCAAACCGGUUCAUGCACAUCUCUAUUCAAAGGUUUGCUUCAAAGGAAAGGGCGUAUUCCCACCGCUUCUUCUCAGAAGUCAAAGAAAGCAAGAGCCAAAAUCUGUAAUGUGCAUUUUCAUGCAUGUUAUUUGUUCAGUUUCUCCACUUCUGAAAUUUUUUUCUGCAGUCUGGUUUGAAUAACAAACAAGUCCAGACGAAAUAGAACUUAUGCCCUCCUAUUCAAAUCCUAUGACAUAUAAACAAUGAUACAAAAUAAAUGUAACAAAUGUUUCCCAAAUAAAGGGGAGAGUGGGCGGAUUUCCACAAUUGAACCUUGAAUUCUUUUAAGAGCAAGCCUUUAGCUUGGCUAGAUUUCCCUUAAUGCCACCACUGAAAUUUGUAAUGGUGUCCCUGCCUGUUAAGGCAUUGGGGAGAAUAGCAUAUCAAUGAUCUGAUAAUUUAUAGUGUCCACAGACAAGUGAUGCAAAAUUUGGACACAUUAUAACUCUAUUACUAUCCAAAGUAACUGACAGAUAUUAAAUAGUGUGGUGCUUGAGCAUUCCACCAUUUUUUGUCAUUCCCACCCCCCACAGGAGGCUAUAAUUUAAUGGGAUUUUCAUGUAGUUUUUUAUUUAUCCUAAUCAUAAAAUUACCUUGAGUCCAAAACCUGUGCUUUGGCUUCCAGCUUCCUUUGAAGUCCAUCAUAAAAACUUCCAUCAUAACAUGCCUUAGUAUAGCAUGCAAAUACAUGGUUCCCUAGAGCACCUUUGCAGAGUGAAUGUAUUAAUACAUAAAAUGUUUCACUGCUGAUACCGGAGUGGAAGAUGUAAUGGAGUCUUCAUUCCUUAAGCAAUAUUGGCCACUAUACUUAAAAAGAAAAACACUUAUAAGAAUUUUGUCAAAGUGUUUCAGCUUUGAUUGUCCCUUGGCAAGAAUGUGAAUGGCUUUUUAAUAUAAAAAAUUGAAAUCUUGCAUUGUUGAUUGUCUCGUUUUCAUAAAGCAAAAUAUUGUAGGUGGCUCUUUUCAACAUAAGGUUUUAAAUUGGGAGUAGUAUAAUAUAAUUAUGAUCCAAAGAUGUUUUUCUUUCUUUCCACAGUUCACCUCGAAGAAAAAUAAAUAAAGAUGUUUUGAGUGCAGCCAGUUCAGGCCUGGCCUGCUAGUGUGUCUGACCAUCUAUGCUUAUCCAUAGGCCCCACUGUGUAGAUUGAAUCUGAUGUUUAUAAAGCAUUUUCAGCAUUGAGUGUUAAAAGACCUCUGAAGUUGGAGCGCCUAACCAUGGGGAAAGUAAGUUUUGUGUUCCUUCUUGCUCCUUUAUUACAUUAUUUUCUAGGAUAUACAUAAAUGAUCAGUGGUUUAAUGAGAUUAUCAUAAAUUACUUGACAAUCUGCAAUAAAGCACCUCCAAAUAUGGAGAAGUGACUGCCAGACAUCUUUGGGAGAAAAACUGUUCUUCUAUAAUAUUCUGACUUUGUCUGUAUAAAGCAAUUGGCUAUAACUGAAAGACCGGCAGUGGGUUUUUAUUAUGUAUGUACCUCUCUCAAAUGCCGAAUGGAUGAAGGACCUUUGUGAAAUCAUUUAUUAGAAAUUAGCUCCAUAAUUGAAGAAGCAAAUGCACUGCCAUCUCACUGUACAUAUAACAAUAUGGGAUUAUGAUAAUGCUGUGUUCUGCAUAUUAUAAACUGCAAAAUGGAAAUGAAAACAUUAAAGACAUUUUUAUGUUGAGAACAUAAUUGCCUCUCUCAGCUAAUCUAACAUAAUGAAACGAUAACAUACUCACACUGUAAUAAAUUUCCCCUACAGUUAUCACAAUAAAAAUAAAAUUGUACUGUUGCACUGA